rnacentral:lncRNA from 1 species
UGAGAGAAGCGGUCAGAUACACAUGGCCAUAAUAAGGGGAUGUACGGACCAUGUAAGCUGUAGUUGCUAUAUAUCCAGAGCACGACAAGUUGUUGAUGCAUCAUCAUACGCAGUGGUGUAGGGAAAAAUUGUUCUUGUGUUUCUAUAGACUUGGGAGAGAUCAGGAAUAUGUGUAUCACCGUGCUUGGUUCCCGGGCCACUGCCAUGGCGAUCGUCUCUGUGCACAGCGAGCCAUCAACAGCGCAUCGGAACUAGGUUGUCACGCUUUAGUGUUGGUGAGGGAAUCACUCUCAUUCUAGGUGCACCCACCAAAGUUGAUGGCACCGCAGAUCAUGUGAUAUGCUUAGAUAUUCCAAAAGAUUUUGUGCCACAAACGUAUAACGACAGAUACUGUUUUGCUUAUUAACUACGUGCUACCAUUGUUCAGGUCUUGUGCGAGCCAUGGAUGCAUGAUGUAGACAUCACUCUCUGUUGUCUCUCUCUUGCAUAGUGAUAACUACUCCCU